GUUUUGCAAAGCAAAACUACAUACAAUAAACGAUGUUUUGUGUAAAGCACAAAACUCGCAGAUAAACAGUAAGGCAGAAUUCCUGCCGAGCUGUUUAUCCUGC
rnacentral:sRNA from 1 species